AAGCGCUUGCUGCCAGACUCGCCCGUCGUUGCUCCACGGGGGUUCUCCCCCGUGUACUCUUCGGCGGGCGGGCCAGCAUCGACUCGGGCGGCCGGACAAAGGCCGCGGGAACGUGGCUCUCUUCGGGGAGUGUUACAGCCCGCGGUGAAAUGCGGCCUGCCUGGGUCGAGGACUGCGCAUCUGCUCGGAUGCUGGCGUAAUGGCCGCAAGCG
rnacentral:rRNA from 1 species